GCAAAGCUGAAUUACAACAACAUCUUUUAAGAACGCAAUAUAUAACAUGUAUUUGGAGAAAUGCAUAUUUGCGAUUCCCCAGCAGUUUGACACCGAAUAGAAACGGAUGGACACUUCAUGAGGAUACGCUACAUUUCCACUGGUUCGACGGAGAUUGUAUGCCGCAAUCAGUAUUCGACGCUAUUGUUCAUGAAAACAAUAAACAAAAUAAUAUUGGAAAUGAUACUACAGAUAAUGCAGGGGUAUCCGAAUUAGACACAGAUGAAUCUGAAGUUGAUUCUGAUAGCUCUGAUGAAGGAGCAUCUACAGAAGAAGAAUGACAAUUUCUUUCUGAUAUGACAGGGAAUUAAUUACAUUGAUAUUUGUAUACUCAUAAUAAUUCUGCAGCUGUAUUAUUAGUAUAUAAUUUUUCUAUUUCAAUAAAUCUGAUUUUGUAAUUUUA